UGCUAGCUUGCUAAUAAUUCUCUAGUGGCGCACGGGUGAGUAACACGUGAGUAACCUGCCCCCAAGAGUGGGAUAGCCCCGGGAAACUGGGAUUAAUACCGCAUAAAAUCGCAAGAUUAAAGCAGCAAUGCGCUUGGGGAUGGGCUCGCGUCCUAUUAGUUAGUUGGUGAGGUAACGGCUCACCAAGGCGAUGACGGGUAGCCGGUCUGAGAGGAUGUCCGGCCACACUGGAACUGAGACACGGUCCAGACACCUACGGGUGGCAGCAGUCGAGAAUCAUUCACAAUGGGGGAAACCCUGAUGGUGCGACGCCGCGUGGGGGAAUGAAGGUCUUCGGAUUGUAAACCCCUGUCAUGUGGGAGCAAAUUAAAAAGAUAGUACCACAAGAGGAAGAGACGGCUAACUCUGUGCCAGCAGCCGCGGUAAUACAGAGGUCUCAAGCGUUGUUCGGAAUCACUGGGCGUAAAGCGUGCGUAGGCGGUUUCGUAAGUCGUGUGUGAAAGGCGGGGGCUCAACCCCCGGACUGCACAUGAUACUGCGAGACUAGAGUAAUGGAGGGGGAACCGGAAUUCUCGGUGUAGCAGUGAAAUGCGUAGAUAUCGAGAGGAACACUCGUGGCGAAGGCGGGUUCCUGGACAUUAACUGACGCU
rnacentral:rRNA from 1 species